ACCCAAUAGAUACCCUGGUAGUCCACGCCCUAAACGAUGAGUGCUGGGUGUCCGGCGUAUGCUGGGUGCCGUAGCUAAACGCGUUAAGCACUCCACCUGGGAAGUACGGUCGCAAGACUGAAACUCAAAGGAAUUGACGGGGGCCCGGCACAAGCGGUGGAGCAUGUGGUCUAAUUCGAAGCGACGCGAAGAACCUUACCAGGUCUUGACAUGUAAGGAAUCUCCCUGAAAGGGGAGAGUGCCCGCAAGGGAGCCUUAGCACAGGUGCUGCAUGGUCGUCGUCAGCUCGUGUCGUGAGAUGUUGGGUUAAGUCCCGCAACGAGCGCAACCCUUGUUGCUAGUUGCUAACAGGUAAGGCUGAGCACUCUAGCGAGACUGCCUAUGAAAGUAGGAGGAAGGCGGGGAUGACGUCUGAUCCGCAUGGCCCUUACGACCUGGGCGACACACGUGCUACAAUGCCUGCGACAAAGCGCAGCUACUGGGGUAACCAGACGCCAAUCGCACAAACGCAGGCUCA
rnacentral:rRNA from 1 species